AACGAACGCUGGCGGCAGGCUUAACACAUGCAAGUCGAACGGGCGUAGCAAUACGUCAGUGGCGGACGGGUGAGUAACACGUGGGAAUAUGCCUUUCGGUUCGGAACAACUCGGGGAAACCCGUGCUAAUUCCGGAUACGCCCUUACGGGAAAGAUUAUCGCCGAAGAUUAGCCCGCGUUGGAUUAGCUAGUUGGUGAGGUAAAGGCUCACCAAGGCGACGAUCCAUAGCUGGUUUGAGAGAACGACCAGCCACACUGGGACUGAGACACGGCCCAGACUCCUACGGGAGGCAGCAGUGGGGAAUCUUGGACAAUGGGCGCAAGCCUGAUCCAGCCAUGCCGCGUGAGUGAUGAAGGCCUUGGUUGUAAAC
rnacentral:rRNA from 1 species